rnacentral:rRNA from 1 species
UACGGGGGGGGCAAGCGUUGUUCGGAAUUACUGGGCGUAAAGGGUUCGUAGGUGGCCAACUAAGUCAGACGUGAAAUCCCUCAGCUUAACUGGGGAACUGCGUCUGAUACUGAUUGGCUUGAGUGCAGGAGAGGAACGCGGAAUUCCAGGUGUAGCGGUGAAAUGCGUAGAUAUCUGGAGGAACACCGGUGGCGAAGGCGGCAUUCUGGACCAAUAUUGACGCUGAGGAGCGAAAGCCAGGGGAGCAAACGGG